GACGACGCUGGCGGCGUGGGAUUAGGCAUGCAAGUCGAACGGUAGGAUACCUUCGGGUAUCUGAGAGUGGCGAACGGGUGAGUAACACGUAGGUGAUCUACCCUCAAGAUUGGGACAACCCAGGGAAACUUGGGCUAAUACCGGAUGAAAGCAGCAGUGAUGUUGUUUGAAAGGUGGCGUAAGCUGCCGUUUGGGGAUGAGCCUGCGCUCUAUUAGUUAGUUGGCGGGGUAAAGGCCCACCAAGGCGAUGAUAGAUAGGCGGCCUUAACGGGUGGUCGCCCACACUGGGAUUGAGAUACGGCCCAGACUCCUACGGGAGGCAGCAGUCGAGAAUAGUCUACAAUGGCCGAAAGGCUGAUAGUGCGACGCCGCGUGAACGAAGAAGCCCUUCGGGGUGUAAAGUUCUUUUAUAUGUGAGCAGUGCUUCUUAUAUUAACAGUAUGGGGAGAGAGAUAUUAGCAUAUGAAUAAGCAACGGCUAACUCCGUG
rnacentral:rRNA from 1 species